UACGUAGGGUGCAAGCGUUUGUCCGGAAUUAUUGGGCGUAAAGAGCUCGUAGGCGGUCUGUCGCGUCGGCUGUGAAAACCCGGGGCUCAACCCCGGGCCUGCAGUCGAUACGGGCAGACUAGAGUGCGGUAGGGGAGACUGGAAUUCCUGGUGUAGCGGUGAAACGCGCAGAUAUCAGGAGGAACACCGGUGGCGAAGGCGGGUCUCUGGGCCGAUACUGACGCUGAGGAGCGAAAGCGUGGGGAGCGAACAGG
rnacentral:rRNA from 1 species